rnacentral:sRNA from 1 species
GCGGAAGGAUCAUUUACACUAAUUGUGAUUUAUCACAAAUCCAUUCAUCAAUGCAAUCAUUGUGAAGUUGUCUUCGGAUAACUUCGAACUUCUUAUUCUCUCUUUGCUUCAUGUUCGGCAUCUUCUACUUCGGUGUUGAUGGUGUUCAUGUUGACUUUCUUGGGUUGGGCAUCUCCUUCUUUCGGGAUUGAGGUGUUCAGCCCAUUUUUUUUACCCUGGGGUGAAGUGCUUUCGGGUACAUCACUCAGCUUCCACUUUGACUGGAUUCUGUGCGACAGUGUUUGAAUGUUGUCUUUUGUGGACUUCAUGUACUCAAAUUACAACUUUCAGCACUUGAUUCCUUGGUUCAGACCUCGAUGAAGGGCACUGCGAAAUGUGAAUGGCAUUGUGAAUUGCAGGCAUCCGGGAAUUGAGAGCUUCUUGAAUGCAUACUGCUCCAGCUGACUUGUCAGUUGGAUAAUCUUCCUCAGGGACUAUGUACCCAUUCGAUGCUUCAUUGCUUUGUCAGCUUCAAUUUCCUUCGGGGAUUGUGGGUGAUGGUGAUGAACUCUUGCACAUCAAGCUUGUCUUAAUGUGUUGAAUUAUGAUCUUCGACUGCAAUGGUGAAUGGAGGGGUAGCGCCCAAUAUUUUCGUUGUGUGUUCGUCGAUCCAAGU